GUUGGUGCUGAUUAGAAUGAGGGUCCACCCGUUCCCAUUCCGAACACGGUAGUUAAGCUCAUUUCUGCCCACAAUACUUGGCUGGUGACGGCCUGGGAAGAUAGGUAGCGCCAACA
rnacentral:rRNA from 1 species